rnacentral:rRNA from 1 species
GACGAACCGUGCGAACGUUGUUCGGAAUCACUGGGCUUAAAGGGCGCGUAGGCGGGCUGCCAAGUCAGGGGUGAAAGCCCACGGCUCAACCGUGGAAGUGCCUUUGAAACUAGCAGUCUGGAGGGAGGUAGGGGCGUGCGGAACUUCCGGUGGAGCGGUGAAAUGCGUAGAUAUCGGAAGGAACACCGGUGGCGAAAGCGGCGCGCUGGACCUCUUCUGACGCUGAGGCGCGAAAGCCAGGGGAGCAAACGGG